GACGAACGCUGGCGGCGUGCUUAACACAUGCAAGUCGAACGAAGAGCGAUGGAAGCUUGCUUCUAUCAAUCUUAGUGGCGCACGGGUGAGUAACGCGUAAUCAACCUGCCCUUCAGAGGGGGACAACAGUUGGAAACGACUGCUAAUACCGCAUACGAUCCGACCUCGGCAUCGAGGAUGGAUGAAAGGUGGCCUCUAUUUAUAAGCUAUCACUGAAGGAGGGGAUUGCGUCUGAUUAGCUAGUUGGAGGGGUAACGGCCCGCCAAGGCAAUGAUCAGUAGCCGGUCUGAGAGGAUGAACGGCCACAUUGGGACUGAGACACGGCCCAGACUCCUACGGGAGGCAGCAGUGGGGAAUCUUCCGCAAUGGACGAAAGUCUGACGGAGCAACGCCGCGGGAGGGAUGACGGCCUUCGGGUUGUAAAGCUCUGUUAAUCGGGACGAAAGGUCUUCUUGCGAAUAGGUAGAAGAAUUGACGGUACCGGAAGAGAAAGCCACGGCUAACUACGUG
rnacentral:rRNA from 1 species